GGUAAUGCCGGAUGCUCCGACUCCUCGCAUGGGGUGUCGGGAAAGAUUUCAUCGGUAUGGGAUGGGGUCGCGUCCUAUCAGGUAGUCGGCGGGGUAACGGCCCACCGAGCCUACGACGGGUAGCCGGCCUGAGAGGGCGACCGGCCACAUUGGGACUGAGAUACGGCCCAGACUCCUACGGGAGGCAGCAGUGGGGAAUAUUGCACAAUGGGCGCAAGCCUGAUGCAGCGACGCCGCGUGCGGGAUGACGGCCUUCGGGUUGUAAACCGCUUUUGAUCGGGAGCAAGCCUUCGGGUGAGUGUACCUUUCGAAUAAGCACCGGCUAACUACGUGCCAGCAGCCGCGGUAAUACGUAGGGUGCAAGCGUUAUCCGGAAUUAUUGGGCGUAAAGGGCUCGUAGGCGGUUCGUCGCGUCCGGUGUGAAAGUCCAUCGCUUAACGGUGGAUCUGCGCCGGGUACGGGCGGGCUGGAGUGCGGUAGGGGAGACUGGAAUUCCCGGUGUAACGGUGGAAUGUGUAGAUAUCGGAAAAAAAACA
rnacentral:rRNA from 1 species